AACGAACGCUGGCGGCGCGCCUAAUACAUGCAAGUCGAGCGAGAAGACGUAGCAAUACGUUUGUAAAGCGGCGAACGGGUGAGGAAUACAUGGGUAACCUACCCUCGAGUGGGGAAUAACUAGCCGAAAGGUUAGCUAAUACCGCGUACGCUCCUUGGACUUCGGUUCAGGGAGGAAAGCGAUACCGUGGGUAUCGCGCUCUUGGAUGGGCUCAUGUCCUAUCAGCUUGUUGGUGAGGUAACGGCUCACCAAGGCUUCGACGGGUAGUUGGUCUGAGAGGACGAUCAGCCACACUGGCACUGCGACGCGGGCCAGACUCCUACGGGAGGCAGCAGUAAGGAAUAUUGCGCAAUGGGCGAAAGCCUGACGCAGCGACGCCGC
rnacentral:rRNA from 1 species